rfam:Echinococcus multilocularis genomic scaffold, pathogen_EmW_scaffold_04
GUAGCUAUGGCGACAUGGUGCCAAAGACCAUCUUGGGUCAACUGAUCGGCGGCACGUGCGCGCUUUCCGGUGUACUGGUGAUAGCCCUUCCCGUCCCAUUCAUUGUCUCCAAC